rnacentral:rRNA from 1 species
AAUAUUGCGCAAUGGAGGGAACUCUGACGCAGCGACGCCGCGUGAGCGAUGAAGGUCUNCGGAUCNUNAAGCUCUGUCCUUGGGGNAGAAGGUCUUCGGACUUGACGGUACCUGGGGAAUAAGCACCGGCUAACUCCGUGCCAGCAGCCGCGGUAAUACGGAGGGUGCAAGCGUUAUCCGGAUUUACUGGGUUUAAAGGGUACGUAGGCGGACUAUUAAGUCAGGGGUGAAAUCUCCGAGCUCAACUCGGAAACUGCCUUUGAAACUAGUGGUCUUGAAUUAUGUUGAGGUUGGCGGAAUAUAACACGUAGCGGUGAAAUGCAUAGAUAUGUUAUAGAACACCGAUUGCGAAGGCAGCUGACUAAACAUAUAUUGACGCUGAUGUACGAAAGCGUGGGGAUCAAACA